GCUGUGGCUCAGUGGUGCAGCAUCUGCUCGGCAUUCAGAAGGUCCCAGGUUCCAUCCCCAGCAUCUCCA
rnacentral:tRNA from 1 species